GGUCGCAUGGUCUAGCUGGUUAGGACGCCUGCCUGUCACGCAGGAGAUCGCGGGUUCGAACCCCGCUGUGACCGCUA
rnacentral:tRNA from 1 species